CACAUGCAAGUCGAGGGGCAGCAAUUUUAGUUUGCUUGCAAACUGAAGAUGGCGACCGGCGCACGGGUGAGUAACACGUAUCCAACCUGCCGAUAACUCCGGAAUAGCCUUUCGAAAGAAAGAUUAAUACCGGAUAGUAUACGAAUAUCGCAUGAUAUUUUUAUUAAAGAAUUUCGGUUAUCGAUGGGGAUGCGUUCCAUUAGUUUGUUGGCGGGGUAACGGCCCACCAAGACUACGAUGGAUAGGGGUUCUGAGAGGAAGGUCCCCCACAUUGGAACUGAGACACGGUCCAAACUCCUACGGGAGGCAGCAGUGAGGAAUAUUGGUCAAUGGGCGCGAGCCUGAACCAGCCAAGUAGCGUGAAGGAUGAAGGCUCUAUGGGUCGUAAACUUCUUUUAUAUGGGAAUAAAGUUUUCCACGUGUGGAAUUUUGUAUGUACCAUAUGAAUAAGGAUCGGCUAACUCCGUGCCAGCAGCCGCGGUAAUACGGAGGAUCCGAGCGUUAUCCGGAUUUAUUGGGUUUAAAGGGAGCGUAGGUGGAUUGUUAAGUCAGUUGUGAAAGUUUGCGGCUCAACCGUAAAAUUGCAGUUGAAACUGGCAGUCUUGAGUACAGUAGAGGUGGGCGGAAUUCGUGGUGUAGCGGUGAAAUGCUUA
rnacentral:rRNA from 1 species